rnacentral:lncRNA from 1 species
CCAGAAUCUCAGCAAGGAGAAUCACUUGAACAUGGGAGGUGGCGGUUACAGUGAGCCGAGAUCGCGCCACUGCACUCCAGCCUGGUAACAGAGCAAGACUGCAUCUGAAAAAGUAACAGAAAUUUUCUCCAGACACCUGCCUUCUGAUGAUGGCCCCCUCCCCCGGUGAAGCACGGGAGACCCCAAACUCCUGCCUGACCCUAAAGUGCCUCAUGACCCUGCCCACGCACUCCUCUGGCCACACUGAGUGUCCUCCGAGUCAUGCUGAGCCCUGUGCCUGGGUGUUUGCUGCCCCCUGUCUAAAAGCCUCCCCUCCCUUUUCCCGGCUCCAUCCCCUCAUCCUCUGCCUGCUCAGCACCCACCUCCUGGUCAUUUAACGUGUAGCUCAGGCUGUAAUCCCAGCACUUUAGGAGGCCAAGGGCAGAGGAUCACUUGAGCCCAAGAGCUUGAGACCAGCCUGGGCAACAUAGUGAGACCCCCCUCAACUCCACCAGAAAUGUAAAAGGAAGAAAAAAAGAUGUAGCUCAAGCAUCACCCACCUCCAGGUAGCCUUCCUGAUGGUGCCAUAUGCAGGUGGGCUCAGAGGCAGCCUCUGUUCUCUGGGCAUCAGAAGCUGCCUCCCUGGGGGAAAUGCUCCUGGGUCAGCUCCUGCAGGAGUCCAGGCACAGGAUGAUGGUGAUGGAUCAGGACUGAGGGUCAGAGAUGCAGAAAGCCAGACAGCUUUGGGAUGUACUUGGUGAGAUCAGUGGGAUUUGCUGCAGGCUGGCUGUCAGGGUGCAGGGGAGAAUUCUGGACCGGCCCUGUCUUCAUCUCUCUCUUCCCUCCAAUCCCAGGAAGAGCAAAUGAGGCAGAAGGACUCGUGGGCCUGGCUCAGCAGCUCCGUCCUCAAGAACUUGAGGACCACCAAGUUCCAUGGCUGGGAGGGAGCCUUUCUGGACAGAGUCCUGGGCAUCCGGGGCCAGGAGCUGGGUGCCUUGUGGACCUCCGGCCUCCUCUUCUCCGUGUCGCUGGAGUCCUUCCAAGCAUCUACAUUUCUGAGAACUCCCAUGAGGAAGAGAAAAUGGGGACCACUGACUUCUGUGUCUCUGAAAAUAACUUUGUAAAAGUACUUAAGGAUCCAACACUGUGCUUAUCAUCAGACAGUUCGGGACCCUCUGCUCUGAGAGCAUCAACAUUGGCCAUCUCCUUCUCCUGUUUGAGUCUCAAACUCUGCCUCUGGAACCUGGUUUUGAAGGGAAAAUAGGACAUGCUGCCCAAUGUCAUGAUGGAGGAGCCCAGACCUGGGGCCUUGGAGAAAAGCUGUCCCCACAACCCUUAACCAAGAGCACCAGCAGCCCUUCAGAGGUAGAGACAGUCUCUAUUCACCUACCCUCUUU